UACGAAGGGGGCUAGCGUUGCUCGGAAUUACUGGGCGUAAAGGGCGCGUAGGCGGACCUGCAAGUCGGGGGUGAAAGCCCGAGGCUCAACCUCGGAACUGCCUUCGAUACUGCGGGUCUCGAGUCCGGGAGAGGUGAGUGGAAUUCCUAGUGUAGAGGUGAAAUUCGUAGAUAUUAGGAAGAACACCAGUGGCGAAGGCGGCUCACUGGCCCGGUACUGACGCUGAGGCGCGAAAGCGUGGGGAGCAUACAGG
rnacentral:rRNA from 1 species